rnacentral:lncRNA from 1 species
GAUUACAAGAUUUUUCUUCAUAGUUUUAUACGUUUCAUGUUUAGGAUAAAUUAACAAUACAAAAGGAAAAGAAUGAGAUAUUUGACCAUGUUUACAUGGCGAAUAAUUUGGUUUCUAAGUCAAUUAAUAGGUAACUCUUCCAUCUUGAUAAUAUGUCUAUAGGGGUCUAGACAAAUUAAAUUUUAACAGUAAAACUAAUUUAACAUAUAUAUCAAACUUUUUUGCAGUUUUAAUUAAAUUGACACGCGUAUUGCUGGUGUGAAAAUGGAACUCGAUUCUCGAAGCAACAAAAUUUCCGCUUUCUGUUCUGAAAGCUAUUAGAUAAAAUUAAAAGCCGAUUGGAUACUGAGUUAAUGAAUGACAAAGACUAGUGUUCGGAUGGGUUAUUUGUUCACUUUUCGUAAAAUAACUGAAAGUCAAUAUAAUCUCUAUAUCGUUUCUGCUUUAAGUAAAUUGGCAAUGUCGAUUUUGAGACGUGCGCAGCAAAUAGUCGGUUUUAUAAACUCUAAACAUUCUGAAAGUUGGUAUAGGUAAUGACAAUCACAGUGUAGAUACUAUUCUGUACGCUAUCCGGAAGUCGCGAUUUUCGAAGCGAGGAUUUCAAACUGUCUAACAGAACGGUUUUGUUUUGGUGCUUUUUCUCAUCAUUUGUUUACUCCUAUAUCUAUAAAGUGCUUUGCACAUCUUAAAUGUAUGUAUAACAUCAUAAAUAUGAGUAACUGUAACAAAAACAUGCAGUAGAAUAUAAAAUAUUCGCGUGCAUCACACCAACUUCAUAGAAAAAAGUGAAAUCGAUUGACAAUUUUGCUCUCGUAGUACAAAGCAGAUAAUCUUUUAUUGCGAAUAUUUGCAUCAGUUUACAGUAAAAUAUAUACUGUUUCAAUAUUCCUACCGUAUUUAAGUAGAAUGUUCGUAUUUCAAAUAAAAAAAUAUGCUUUCCUUGAGGAACCCAAAAUAAAUUACUGUACGAUCAGUCUAAAACUGACUGUAUUCUAGUAGCGAUUUCAGAUUUUUUGUCUGUAUGACCAGUCGUGAUUUUGAAGAAAAAAAACAACAACAAAUGGAAGUUUUUAACGACCUUGACUGAAAAACAACGGCAAUUUGAAGGUAUAUACGUGUCUAUGUGAUAUUAUGAUUGUGUCCAUGGAACUAUAACGUGUAAUUUCUUUCAUCAGACAAUACAAAUAUAUUUCUGAUGAUUUUUGUAGACGGCAAAUUAAUUUUUGUUCCGUCAGUCUUACUUAAAAACAAAUGCCUAAAAAGCAAUACAUGAUUCGCUUGUGGACUGUAUUAGUGUGUCGUUGCAGUUAUCUGUUUAACUAUUACAUUUUUAAAGACUAUUUACACCGUCUACCGUUGAUCAAUUAUGAGAUAACUGUAUUGUAUUUUAAGCUCCGACGGCAUCAAUUGGGAAUUUGAUGGUCGCAAAUUAAGUUUACUGGCGACGCGUUAGCGGAGACAGUAAACGGGUAUUUGCGACCAUCAAAUCCCAAAUUGAUGCCGUCGGAGCUUAAAAUACAAUAUUGUUAUCUCCAUUCUAAUGAAACUGACAGAAAACAACGUUAAAACAUGUUUUUAAAAUCUGUCAUAUGCCGUCUGCGCUUGCGCGUACGUCCCAUAGCAUCAAUUCUCAAUUGAUGCCAUGUAAGAAAGUGACGUUAUCCAAUCAAAAUAAACGUUACAAACGUUGGUGCAUUAGAAUUGGUGAUUACAUACAUCAAGCCUGUCUCUUUUAAAAUGACAAAAAAUAGAUAGAGAAAGCUUUGUUAAAAAACUUUAGGUAUUGAGGAAAGGAUUAACGAAAUUAUACCCCGCAACUUCUAUAGUCCAUGUUUUGGAAAAAAAAUAAACCACCAAAAAAACUAAAUUAUAGGUGCACAGGGGCAUCAUUUAAUAACGAAUAUGAGAAAGUUUUAUUAAUACUAGUAUAUAUGGUAAGUUUUUUGAAAGUUGCGUAUAGUAAGCGGGUACCACCCAAUAAGGUAAUGGAAAAGUCCAUAUCAUGGAAAUAAAAAACUGAUGAUUUUUCGAAAAACCAAAAUAAGAGGUACACAAUUGAAUUAAAGGAUAAGGAAUCUGAAGAAAAAAAGAUUCAUUAAGUUAUGACAAGUGUCUGAAGGAAGUUGUGGAUAUAAAAUAGGUACGCCCAAUAUAAGGUUAUGACAAAGUCCGUAUUUACGAUAGAGAAACAUCAAAAGUAUUUUUACAAAAUAUUCGAAAUAGAAGGUCCAUACAUACAUUAAUAGAUUACAAAUGGAGCAAUUUUAGAAAAGUUUAACAAUUGGUUUUGGAGGUCACGGUUGGAAAUAUCUGAUGGGUGCCCCCAUAUAAUGCAAUGUUCAAGUCCGUAUCUUAUAUAUAAAGAGACCCCAUAAAAAUAUUCUUAAUAAAAUCAGAAAUACAUUCCUUUUUUUAUAUAAAUAAGGCCGUUAAUUUUCUCGUUUGAAUUGUUUUACAUUGUCAUUUCGGGGCUUUUUAUAGCCGACUCUGUGGUAUUGGCUUUGCUUAUUGUUGAAGGCCAUACGGUGACCUACAUUUGUUAAUAUCUGUGUCAUUUUGAUCUCUUGUGAACGGUUGUCUCAUUGGCAAUCAUAACGCAUCUUCUUUUUUAUAUUUUUUAUAUUUAUGAUACGGAAUCCGAGAAAAAAAUAAUUAAUAGUUAUACCAGUGACGGAUUCAGAAAAUUGGGAUCCGGCGGUUUGAAACUCUUUUUUUUAACUUUCAAUGCAUUUGUAUGGGAACAUAUAUUUGGAAUCCUCUUUUCUCCUGGAUUGGACCCCCUCUCCAUUUAAAAAUGUCUGGAAACACCAAUGUAUAUUAAGUGGUGUAUGUGGAGAUGCGCUUGCAAAACCGGCGAAACAUGUUGUACCGGUCCAACGGACGAACGGAAAGACGGACUUCAUUAUCACUAUAAACCAUAGCCUCACAAAGUGGUGUACAAUUGAGUGUGAAAGAGAGACAGAUCUACAUCCAAAACAAAGUGAAGGAACUGUGAUCAAUUAUAGGCUACAGUACGGCCUCGAAUGUUUGUAAAUUCAUGCAUUUUUAUAUAGUAACUAUUAAAUCUGUGUGUUUGUACAAUUUUAAGUAAAACGGAGGACAUUUCUGAAACUUCUAUAAACAAACAAACCUUUUUCUUAUUUCAGCCACAUUCAAACAUCCUUAUACUUAAUGUAGUAAGUCGAGUACACCCUAUCAAGCUAAAACAUGUUUGAAAAGUUUACAGGAUGUGAAUUUAUUAAAAUAUAUUUGUGUUAUUUAGAAAAAUGCCAUCUUCUAAUGUAUCGUAAAUAACUUUGAAAUCACUACUAGAAUACAGUGAAAUAACGACUGAUCAUACAGUUUCAAAAUAUACAAGCGAGACUGAUCGUACAGUGAGAAAUUCAAACAAGUGUAAUUUUCUUAUUUCUGGCUUCAAAGAUCUGGCUGAAACUUUUACCACCACUUAAAAUACACUUUAUCUAGUAAAUUAAGUCUGGAUUUUACGUUAAUUUGUACAGUAAGAGUGCAAAAAGAUUGUUUUUAGGUUCACCAACUGAUUUUCCUUAGUGAUGCACUUGAAAAUCUCUUAAUUAAGGCAAAGAUACGAAUAAUGAAUGUGCUAAAUUUAAUUAUAAACCAUUUGUGAGUAUCGAUGUCAGCUGAAUUAAUCAUUAAGCAAUGUACAGAUGAACAUCUUACCGUUUAAUAUAGUAUAUCCGACAAAUUUAAAAUGUGAUCCAAAAAGUUCUCGCUUCGAAAAUCGCGACUUCCGGAAAGCGUACAGAAUAGUAUCUACACUGUGACAAUUGGUAUGAAUGACUUCGUUCAAAAUCGUCUUCUAUAAGAUGUUAAUACAAUUGCUAAUGAUUUUAUUUCAAUUUGUAAUAAUAACAAAAUCCUAUCAUUAAUGCAUUUUAAUAACUAUUAGAUCGACAACUCACCUGUAAUAAUAACUAUCUUGUUUGCGGAUGAAACAUAUCUUCCCUUUUCAGGUAGCAAUAGAAUGCAAGCACCAAUAAAGCACAAACCAGACCACAGAAUACCUAUAUCCAAUUUCCAUAACAGAAAAGAAACUACUAAUAACGCAUAUCCAAGCUUUGUGUACAUAUUGUUAUUAAAGACUCCCUUCCGUCACCAUUAUAUUUUAUAAAUUAAUCUUUACCUGGGUUUAAACUUCACUCCAAUUAUCC